rnacentral:rRNA from 1 species
GACGAACGCUGGCGGCGUGCCUAAUACAUGCAAGUUGAGCGCUGAAGGCUGGUACUUGUACCAACUGGAUGAGCAGCGAACGGGUGAGUAACGCGUGGGGAAUCUGCCUUUGAGCGGGGGACAACAUUUGGAAACGAAUGCUAAUACCGCAUAAAAACUUUAAACACAAGUUUUAAGUUUGAAAGAUGCAAUUGCAUCACUCAAAGAUGAUCCCGCGUUGUAUUAGCUAGUUGGUGAGGUAAAGGCUCACCAAGGCGAUGAUACGUAGCCGACCUGAGAGGGUGAUCGGCCACAUUGGGACUGAGACACGGCCCAAACUCCUACGGGAGGCAGCAGUAGGGAAUCUUCGGCAAUGGACGAAAGUCUGACCGAGCAACGCCGCGGGAGUGAAGAAGGUUUUCGGAUCGUAAAACUCUGUUGGUAGAGAAGAACGUUGGUGAGAGUGGAAAGCUCAUCAAGUGACGGUAACUACCCAGAAAGGGACGGCUAACUACGUG